AACGAACGCUGGCGGCGCGCCUAACACAUGCAAGUCGAACGAGAAUCCGGGGCAACCCGGUAGUAAAGUGGCAAACGGGUGAGGAAUACAUGGGUAACCUACCCUUGAGAAGGGAAUAACCCGCCGAAAGGUGAGCUAAUACCCUAUACGCUAUCUUUUUUUCGAAAAGGAUAGGAAAGCCGGGUCGAGGACCUGGUACUCAAGGAGGGGCUCAUGUCCUAUCAGCUUGUUGGUGGGGUAACGGCCUACCAAGGCUACGACGGGUAGCUGGUCUGAGAGGAUGAUCAGCCACACUGGCACUGAGAUACGGGCCAGACUCCUACGGGAGGCAGCAGUGAGGAAUAUUGCGCAAUGGGCGAAAGCCUGACGCAGCGACGCCGCGUGGGGGAUGAAGGUUUUCGGAUUGUAAACCCCUUUCAUGAGGAAGAUAAAGUGGGUAACCACUUAGACGGUACCUCAAGAAGAAGACCACGGCUAACUUCGUGCCAGCAGCCGCGGUAA
rnacentral:rRNA from 1 species